rnacentral:rRNA from 1 species
CAGUCGCCACGGUAAUACGUAGGUGGCAAGCGUUGUCCGGAAUUAUUGGGCGUAAAGGGCUCGCAGGCGGUUUCUUAAGUCUGAUGUGAAAGCCCCCGGCUCAACCGGGGAGGGACAUUGGAAACUGGGAAACUUGAGUGCAGAAGAGGAGAGUGGAGUUCCACGUGUAGCGGUGAAAUGCGUAGAGAUGUGGAGGAACACCAGUGGCGAAGGCGACUCCCUGGUCUGUAACUGACGCUGGGGAGCGAAAGCGUGGGGAGCGAACAGGAUUAGAUACCCCUGUAGUCCCUGUCUCUUAUAC